UACGUAGGUGACAAGCGUUGUCCGGAUUUACUGGGCGUAAAGAGCGCGCAGGCGGUCGUUCAAGUCGAGUGUGAAAGCCCCCGGCUCAACUGGGGAGGGUCACUCGAUACUGAUCGACUCGAAGGCAGGAGAGGGAAGUGGAAUUCCCGGUGUAGUGGUGAAAUGCGUAGAUAUCGGGAGGAACACCGGUGGCGAAGGCGGUUUCCUGGCCCAGUACUGACGCUGAGGCACGAAAGCGUGGGGAGCGAACGGG
rnacentral:rRNA from 1 species